rnacentral:rRNA from 1 species
UUGGAGGGCAAGUCUGGUGCCAGCAGCCGCGGUAAUUCCAGCUCCAAUAGCGUAUAUUAAAGUUGUUGCAGUUAAAAAGCUCGUAGUUGAACUUCGGGGUCUACCCAUUGGUCAGGCUUAAUUGUCUGCACUGGUGAGAUGGAUCUCUACCUUCUGAGGAACUUUCAUGCCAUUUAUUUGGUGUAGUGGGAAAUCAGGACUGUUACUUUGAAAAAAUUAGAGUGUUUAAAGCAGACUAUCGUCUGAAUACAUUAGCAUGGAAUAAUGAAAUAGGACGGACUGAUUCUAUUUCGUUGGUUUCUAGGAUCACCGUAAUGAUUAAUAGGGAUAGUUGGGGGCAUUAGUAUUCAAUUGUCAGAGGUGAAAUUCUUGGAUUUAUUGAAGACUAACUACUGCGAAAGCAUUUGCCAAGGAUGUUUUCAUUAAUCAAGAACGAAAGUUAGGGGAUCGAAGACGAUCAGAUACCGUCGUAGUCUUAACCAUAAACUAUGCCGACUAGGGAUCGGAUGAUGUUAAUUUUUUAAUGACUCAUUCGGCGCCUUACGGGAAAC